rnacentral:rRNA from 1 species
UCAGACGAUGCGUCAUGCAUAUCAAUAAGCGGAGGAAAAGAAACUAACAAGGAUUCCCCUAGUAACGGCGAGUGAAGCGGGAAGAGCUCAAAUUUGAAAUCUUCAAGGUUUGACCUUGACGAAUUGUAGUUUAAAGAAGUGUUUUCGGUUAGAGGAGUGGUAAAAGUUCUUUGGAAUAGGACAUCAUAGAGGGUGAGAAUCCCGUAUUUGACCAUUCUUUCUAGCUUUGUGAUACACUUUCAAAGAGUCGGAUUGUUUGGGAAUGCAGUCCAAAAUGGGUGGUAAAUUUCAUCUAAAGCUAAAUAUUGGCGAGAGACCGAUAGCGAACAAGUACCGUGAGGGAAAGAUGAAAAGAACUUUGAAAAGAGAGUUAAACAGUACGUGAAAUUGUCAAAAGGGAAGCGUUUGACACCAGUGUUGUUUUCUCGAAAAUCAAUUAAAAAGAGUUGGAUUUUGUGUUGUAUUGACCUUAACAGCUUGCUUCACUCUUUUCCUGCUUUUUUUAAUGCACUCUUCGUUUAACAAGUCAACAUCAGUUUCUUUUGUUGUAAAAGGGUCAUUGGAAGGUGGCUUUCUCUUCGGAGAAAGUGUUUAUAGCCUUUGAUCUCUGCAAUCGGAGAGACUGAGGUCUGCAGCGUAGAUCCUUCGGGGUUAGAUACAUUUGUGCUAAGCUACAGCUUUUCAUAGACAACUUGUUGACUAUGCUUAGUCUUGUAACUUACCCGCUUAUGCUAUUUUACCUACGCUUAGGAUGUUGAUAUGCAUGACUGAUAU